UACAGGAGAAAAGAGGGACUCCUUCUCAAGACCCGAAAUCCAUCAAAUUGAUCAAAAUCAAGCGGAAUCAAGCUAAGAAAAUUGGGGCUUUAACUAAAUUCGUGAUCACCUAAGUGAAGGGAUCACAAGUUUGACGCUAAACGAGCUAGUUGGAGGCUUGGGGAAGAAGCGAGUCAAACAGAUCGAGUCCGCGGAAAAGAGCAUAAACCGGAUGCAAGGAUAAAAUGGUUUAUGAAUUAGCAAUGUUAUGGAUAAGCAUAUUAUGGAGGCAAGGUAUUGAAACGGGUCAAUAGGUUGACCCAAGCCAGGUGGAUGAUGUUGGCUUUCCGGACGAAGAUCAAGUGACGAAUAAGAACCGAACACCCCUCUCGAUGAAGCUUCCGCAUUUGAUUUUGUUUUGUUUUGUUUAAUAAAAGUGGAUUAUGUAAACACUUUUGACUAUGUUUUUGGAUGUUGUAAAACAUGUUUAAAUACUCAUAAUGUAAAAGUUUUUGUUAAGUGGCAUUUUUCAGAUAAAAUGCUUACUUUAAUGUUA